GCGGCAUUUUCCAUCACCGACAACAACUUCAACCCCGACUGCACUGCAGAAACGACUGUUCUGAUCUGCUCUGUUUGCAAGUGACAGCAAUCCAAAACGGUGUCCAAUUAGGACCGGACAUUUACUGUCUGAGGCCGGGCCUUUGCCUGGACGAAGUGACAGACAGCUGCCUCUGAAGCCGCAGCACCUCCUUCUGAGACUCUCUAAGGAGUUUCUCAUAUUCCACCCGAGACGACUGAACAGAGAAAUCCUGCAAAGGCACAGGAAGCAACAUCUGAAAUAAUAUGCUCAGAUUAGGAAGAAUCGGCUCCUAUUUCCAAAAAGGCACUGAGACAGGCAGCCUGUUCCUGCACUGUCAUCUAUCUGUCCUCAGCAGUGACGCAGCCUCUGUAAUACAGGCUUAGGUUGGAUGGCGCAGUACAAAAACUGUCCAGCAGAGAGCAGCCUUGUGGCAGAGAUGACAACUGAGGUUGAAUGGAGAAGAGUUUGAAAACUUUGUUGUUUUAGCUCAUUCUAGGCCAAAUAAUUUGACUUUGAUUAUUAUGAAAUAAAA